rnacentral:rRNA from 1 species
UACGGAGGGUGCGAGCGUUGUCCGGAAUCACUGGGCGUAAAGGGCGCGUAGGCGGCCUGAUAAGUAGGGGGUGAAAUCCUGCGGCUUAACCGCAGGGCUGCCUUCUAAACUGUCGGGCUAGAGCACGGUAGAGGCAGAUGGAAUUCCCGGUGUAGCGGCGGAAUGCGUAGAGAUCGGGAAGAACAUCAGUGGCGAAGGCGGUCUGCUGGGCCGUUGCUGACGCUGAGGCGCGACAGCGUGGGGAGCAAACGGG